rnacentral:misc_RNA from 1 species
UCAAACUUGGUCAUUUAGAGGAAGUAAAAGUCGUAACAAGGUUUCCGUAGGUGAACCUGCGGAAGGAUCAUUAUUGAAAACAAGGGUGUCCAAUUUAACUUGGAACCCGAACUUCUCAAUUCUAACUUUGUGCAUCUGUAUUAUGGCGAGCAGUCUUCGGAUUGUGAGCCUUCACUUAUAAACACUAGUCUAUGAAUGUAAAAUUUUUAUAACAAAUAAAAACUUUCAACAACGGAUCUCUUGGCUCUCGCAUCGAUGAAGAACGCAGC